GACGAACGCUGGCGGCGUGCUUAACACAUGCAAGUUGAACGGAAAGGCCUGCUUUCCCUUGUGGAUUGCGGGUACUCGAGUGGCGAACGGGUGAGUAACACGUGAGUGAUCUGCCCCCAACUUGGGUAUAAGCCUGGGAAACUGGGUCUAAUUCCCGAUAGGACUGCAGGGUGGUGCCUGUGGUGGAAAACGAUUUUCUAGUGGUUGGGGAUGAGCUCGCGGCCUAUCAGCUUGUUGGUGGGGUAAUGGCCUACCAAGGCGGCGACGGGUAGCCGGCCUGAGAGGGUGGACGGCCACAUUGGGACUGAGAUACGGCCCAGACUCCUACGGGAGGCAGCAGUGGGGAAUAUUGCACAAUGGGCGGAAGCCUGAUGCAGCGACGCCGCGUGGGGGAUGACGGCCUUCGGGUUGUAAACUCCUUUCGACCGCGAGGAAGCCACCUGGUUGGAAGGGUGGUGACGGUAGUGGUAGAAGAAGCACCGGCUAACUACGUG
rnacentral:rRNA from 1 species